UACGUAGGUGGCGAGCGUUGUCCGGAAUCAUUGGGCGUAAAGAGCGCGUAGGUGGCUUGUCAGGUCUGAUGUGAAAUCCUGGGGCUCAACUCCAGAACUGCAUCGGAAACCGGCUUGCUAGAGUCUGGGAGAGGAGAGUGGAAUUCCUGGUGUAGCGGUGAAAUGCGUAGAUAUCAGGAGGAACACCGGUAGCGAAGGCGGCUCUCUGGAACAGUACUGACRCUGAGGCGCGAAAGCUAGGGGAGCGAACAGGAUYAGAUACCCUGGUAGUCCUAGCCGUAAACGAUGGACACUAGGUGUCGGGGGUGUCGACUCCCYCGGUGCCGAAGCUAACGCAUUAAGUGUCCCGCCUGGGGAGUACGGCCGCAAGGCUAAAACUCAAAG
rnacentral:rRNA from 1 species